UUGGAUGAGUUGUGAAUUUGGAUGAUUUUUGAGUGAGGGAUGUGUGAAACUGUUUAUACUGUGGAUUUGAAGGACAAAUUGGAUAUGCGCUUGUGCCAAUGAUCACAAGGGGAAUCAUGCUCGGAGCGGAUCAGCCAGUGAUUCUGCACUUGCUCGAUAUUCCACCGGCUGCUGAGGCUUUGAAUGGUGUCAAGAUGGAGUUGAUGGAUGCCGCUUUCCCUCUGCUUAAAGUUUGAUGUAAUUGGCACUUGUUGUCAACAUCGCCGUGAUGGUCGGUGGCUUCCCAAGGAAAGAAGGCAUGGAAAGGAAAGAUGUCAUGACAACGAACGUUUCCAUCUACAAGUCCCAAGCUUCUGCACUGGAAAAGCAUGCCGCUCCCAACUGCAAGGUAAAAAAAUAUUUAAAUGUAACAAAAAUUAUUGGGUAGUUUGUUGAUUUUAUUAGGCAUAUGUUACUUGGUAAUGAUAUGGAUUUGUGCACGAUUCAGAUACACAACUCUAUUUUCAUGCAGAUGGCUGAUUUCGUCAUUUUGUUUCAAUGGUGUUAUGCUAUCUGCUCUGUUUUCAACGGUAUUAUGUAGUUGAUCAACCCCCUUGGAAAC